CAGUAGCCGCGGUAAUACGUAGGUGGCAAGCGUUGUCCGGAAUUAUUGGGCGUAAAGGGCUCGCAGGCGGUUUCUUAAGUCUGAUGUGAAAGCCCCCGGCUCAACCGGGGAGGGUCAUUGGAAACUUGGAAACUUGAGUGCAGAAGAGGAGAGUGGAAUUCCACGUGUAGCGGUGAAAUGCGUAGAGAUGUGGAGGAACACCAGUGGCGAAGGCGACUCUCUGGUCUGUAACUGACGCUGAGGAGCGAAAGCGUGGGGAGCGAACAGGAUUAGAUACCCGCGUAGUCCCUGUCUCUUAUAA
rnacentral:rRNA from 1 species